AUAAGGGCAGUUCCAUAAAAUAGUAAACCUUUUGGUCAAAAUUACAAAAUCCUACAAACAAAACAAAUUAGGUAUCACAUGAAAGCUAAGAAACUGAAAUGUAUAAUUCUGAAAGAAAUAAUUUCAAACAAUGUAUCGUUUCAUUUUGACAAGGUAUUGAAAUCACCAUAGCAACAAAACAGAAUUUUACUUAUUUUCAAAGGUCAAGUUUGCAACAAAUUUUAAACCUUUUAUAAGCUUUGAAAUAAUUAAAGUUGGAUGUUGUCCAAGUUGUUAUUAUGUCAGGUUUCUAAAAAAUAAGUUAGGUUUUUUCUAUUUCUCUUAAAUUUCUUAAACCGAAUAUAUUAAAAGCAGGCACUUUCAAAUGUACGUCCGACCCCUUUUCACAUACACUUUUUUUCUUACAAGCAAAACAAAAGCAGAUAAAUUUUCCCAAAGUCAGAUGCAAAGCAAGGUUGGUUUGUUUAAUAUAUACACCAGAAGGUAGCUCACCACUAGUCCGGGAUUUCAAGAUAAGUGGGGGUCGGACGUACAACUUUUUUGUACGUCCGACCCCUUUGAAACUUUUUUUUAUGAAGUUAUCUUUCACUGCUCAGAUGUUUUUUGCAAAAGUUUAAUAUCAUAACAUCUUUUACUCAUAUCAAUCUUUCAAAAUUGAAUACAAAUUUCAAUUUCAAUCUAGUUUAAAAUGACCUUUUUUUGUAUUUCUUAACCCAACAAAUACUGGGGGCAAAAUUCACCUUCCAUCUUUAACAUUUUGCAUGAUAGUUCUUUAACACACCCUGAUAUCGCUGUAUAGUUUUAUUCGUUUUUUCUUUGAAGUCUUGCACAAGUUUUGAGACAAAUUUCACAAAGAAUACCUCACAUUUUUGACAACAUGUAGAUUUUUAAAUGAUGAUAUCAUCUUCAAGAAAUGGUGAUUUGUGUAUUGUGUGCAUAUUCAAUGGAAACUGCCUUCCUUCAUCUCAAAUUAUCACAUACAUGUAACCUAAUGAAUUUAGUGGUAAUUAUGACUGAAUAACAGCCUGCAGAAAAUUAAAAAAGAAAAUAAAAAGUAAAAACCUACAAAUACAUGAGAAAUUUAAUGAACAAAGAAGUUCCAUAUAAAAGUAGAAAUUGCCCCUUCCCCUCAAUCUCAGGUACAGCAAUUGCCCCUCUAUGAGAAAUAGAUCUGCCCAUUUGCUGUAAUGAUACAUGGAUGUCUAGACUAUUCUACUUUUGCCUAUAGGGGUGUAAGUUAAGAAAAUGUGAAGGGUUAUUCAUUUAAUUUUGACUUGUUCUCAUUUCUUUAUUUCUGCAUCAACCUUGUUCAAACUUGGUACAAAUGAUCCUUGGUUGAUACCAUGUGUGUGUUGAUGAGGUCAAAGGUCAUCUAGGGGUCAAAAGGUCAAAAGAUAGGAGGCCAUUUAGUCAUUUUCUGACAGAUUUUGUUUAAAUCAAUUUUUUUGUUUGCAUCAAUACUGUUCAAACUUGAAAUACAAAAUCAGAGGGUAAUACAAUAUUUUUGUUGAUGAAGAUGAUAAUUCCUAAGGUUUUUUAAGGGGUCAAUAGGUCACUUUUGCUCAUUUUGUUAUUCAAGGUCAAUUGUUCAAGCUUCCUAGGGAUCAAAAGUUAACUUUUGAUACUGGUAGUUUUUUUUAUGUGUAUUGUAUUCAAAUGUAUUCAAACUUGGAACAAAUUAUCAGUGGGUAGUACCACAUAUUUGUUAAAGAGGAUGGAGAGGUCAAAUGUCAUCUAGGUGUAAAAAUGUCAAAUGACAUAUUUCUGCAUUAAUUUUGCCCAAACUUGGAACAAAAUGAUCAGUGGGAAAAAUUACAUGUGUUCUUGAGGAUGGAGAGAUCAAAGGUCAUCUAGGGGUCAAAAGGUCAUAUUGCAUUUUUUUUUAUUGCAACAUCAGGGAAGACUCAUGGUUCGUAACCCACCUUGUAAAAACAAAGUUUGUAACAGGACAAGUUUUGUUAAUGUUGAAGAAAUUCUUUGUCAUGUCUUUUGCAAACCAUUAAAAAAAUACAUUUUACUUGAAGUUUAACAGUAUUCUGCAUUGUGUGAAUAGUUGAGUUGUUUCAUUAUUGAUGUGAUCUAAAAAUGUAGAUAUCAAAAUGGAAACAGUUUAAACCCACUGACUCAUUUGUAAAAGAUAUGAGGUGCAUUUUGCUUGACUGUACGAAAAUCAGUAUGGGGGUCGGACGUACACUGUCUGAAUGCAUGUCAACUUAAAUCAAGCAUAACUCUUCACCAGCAUUAGAUUCAUUUGUUAAUUCUGUCUUAUGUGAAAGACAACUAACCAAACAGUAUGUAUAUUAAAAAAAAUCCAGUUUAGAAUGUCUAUGUUUUGUGUAACUGAUCUUCAAAGGGGGUCGGACGUACAGUGUGCAAAUAUUUUGCACAAUGUACGUCCGACCCCUUCAAAGUGUACGUCCGACCCCAAAUAGAUCAGCCUGUAACUAAAACAAGGCAAUGCCUAUCAAUUUCUUUGCUUCAUUUCUUGUAAGAUUCAUCCUUUAGCUAUCACCUCAUAUUAGAAUUUUAGUACCUGCAACACAAAAAUCACAGAGUUUUUGACAUGAAAUCUAAAAGCAUAAAACCUGCUUUCGUGUGAUGUACGUCCGACCCCUCACAUUUUUGCCCAUAUUUUCUAUUUUACAUAUUGCAGCCUGGUCCUGUCAUGGUGUAAUGAUAACCUAGGUCACAUGUUAUGAUGUACUAAAAUAAAUAAAACACUGCCAUCAAAUUAAAGGAGAUACAGCUCUUAAAUGUGUCCGAAUGUACGUCCGACCUUUAUGGAAUGACCCAUAAUCU